rnacentral:rRNA from 1 species
AUUGAACGCUGGCGGCAGGCCUAACACAUGCAAGUCGAGCGGUAACAGGGAACUGGUUGCUGGUUCGCUCGGCGGUGGCGGACGGGAUGGCUAUGACUCUGCAUGGUCGUGGGGGAUAAGGUUAGGUACUGGGAGCGGAUACUGAUACCGCAUAGCGGCACAAAACGAAGGAGGGUCGGAUUCGACGCUCUUGGCAUCGGCUGGGCCGAGAUAGGAUUAGCUAGUAGGUGGGGUAAAGGCUGACCUAGGCGACGAUCCCUAACUGGUCUGAGAGGAUGACCAGUCACACUGGAACUGAGACACGGUCCAGACUCCUACGGGAGGCAGCAGUGGGGAAUAUUGGACAAUGGGCGCAAGCCUGAUGCAGCCAUGCCGCGUGUAUGAAGAAGGUCUUCGGAUUGUAAAGUACUUUAAGUGGGGAGGAAGGGCAGUAAGUUAAUACCUUGCUGUAUUGACGUUACCAGCAGAAGAAGCACCGGCUAACUCCGUG